UAGUAGUAGUAGUAGUAGUAGUUAUGUAGCUAUAAAUAAAAUUUAACAAAUAUAUAUAUGUACUACGGUACUAUAUAUGUACUGCGACACUACGACACUAUAUGUGUACUGCGACACUACGGCACUAUAUGUGUACUGCGACACUACGGCACUAUAUGUGUACUGCGAUACUACGGCACUAUAUGUGUACUGCGACACUACGGCACUAUAUGUGUACUUUUUUUGUACAGGAAAAAGUAAUAACAUAAACAGCUAUGAGCAGAAGUUAAUAAAUGAAAAAAAAAAAAAUGAAAAAUACAAAGAAAUUAUAAAAGAAAAACUAAAAAAACAACAUGACAAAGAUGUGAAAAAUAAAAAAGAGAAUGAAAUGAAAAGGUAUAUUUAUGAAAAUGAAAUAUAUAAAACAUCAAAUAUUAUUAAUAACAACUUAGAUAAAAAAUGUAGUGAAAAUAAAAUUUGCAUAAAUAAUAAUAAUAGUUAUGAUGUAAAUAUAAAAAAUAAUAUUAAAAAUGAUCCGGAUAUACAAAAUAUUAUUUAUAGUAAUAUUAAUAAUAAUAAUAAUAAUAAUAAUAAUAAUAAUAAUAAUAAUAAUAAUAAUAAUAAUGAUUCUUAUUUAAAAAUAAAAAAAAAAAAAAAAAAAGAAAAAAAAGAAAAAAAAAAAGACAAUAAUAAUGAUAAUGACAAUAAUAACAAUGGUGAUAGUAAAAGUAAAAAAUAUUUAAGUAAUAAAAAAAAAUUAGACACAAAAAAAAAUGGCUCUCUUAAAACGCACCAAGCAAAAGAAAAUAAGAAGAAAAAUGAAUUACUAAAUAAAAAAAAGGAAACAGAAAUGAUGGGAAAAACAGAAAUGAUGGGAGAAACAGAAAUGAUGGGAGAAACAGAAAUGGUGGGAGAAAGCGAAACAGGAACAGAAAGCGAAACGGAUGAAAAAAAAAUUGAGAUAAAAAAAGAAAUAAAUGAAGAAGAGAAAGAAAAAAAAAAUAAAUUUUAUAAUUUGCUAAUGCAAAGAGUUGUAAAUAAUAAAGAAAAAGAAUAUCCAAAAAAAAAAAAAAAAUUUUUAACGUCCUUUAAUUUAGUUACUUAUUUUAAACUAAAUGAAUUACUAUAUAUUUCUUAUUUAAUUGAAAGAUUUUCUAAUCAAUAUUAUAAGAAAGAAUAUUAUGACUUACUUGAUAUAUAUGAAGAAACUAAAAAAAUAAAUAAAAUAAAAAAGCAUAAUGUGAAAGAAAAAAAUGGAGAAAAAGCUGAGGAAAAAAAUGGGGAAAACAAUGAGGAAAAAAAUGAGGCAAAAACUGAGGAAAAAAUUGAGAAAAAAACGGAGGAAAAAAUUGAGGAAAAAACGGAGGAAAAAAUUGAGGAAAACUUUGCUAUAAACAACAACAAAAUGAACAAAAAUCAAAGUGAAUUGUCUAAUUUUAUGAUUCCAAAAGAAGAAAAUCAAAAAAAAAAAAACGAAAUAAAAUAUAUGAAUAGUAUUAAAGAAUUAACAAUUUCAGAUGUUAUUAACAAAUAUAAUAAAGAAAGAGAAAAAACAAAAUUAAAUGUUUAUAAUAAAAAUGCACAUAAAUAUAUUCAUAGUGAAAUUUUGACUAGCUAUAAAUUCGUAGGUAAAAAUUUAUAUGAUAUAAUGUAUCAUAUUUUAAUUAAUUUAAAUUUAUUUUUUAAUCAAAAUAUAAAUGACAUUAAUGAAAUAACGAACAAAUAUAAUACUGUUGUAAAAAAUAUAAAUAUUGUUGAUAGUUGUGAAAAAGAGUUAAAUAAUGAAGAAUAUAUUAAAGUGGAAAAAAAAGAACAAGAUAAUAAUAGUGAUCAAAAUAAAUUUAAUGACAGUAAAAGUGAAAUAUAUGAUAUUAGUAGUGAUAAAAACGACACUAAUUUAAACACAGAAAAUUUAAGUGAUGAACUUUUAAUUUCAACAGUUAAUAAAAAAGAAAAUAAAAAAGUAGUAGAAACUGUAAAAGAAGAUAAAAUAGUAGAAACUGUAAAAAAAGAUAAAAAAGUAGUAGAAACUGUAAAAAAAGAUAAAAAAGUAGUAGAAAAUGUAAAAAAAGAUAAAAAAGUAGUAGAAAAUGUAAAAAAAGAUAAAAAAGUAGUAGAAAAUGUAAAAGAAGAUAAAAAAGUAGUAGAAAAUGUAAAAAAAGAUAAAAAAGUAGUAGAAAAUGUAAAAGAAGAUAAAAAAGUAGUAGAAAAUGUAAAAAAAGAUAAAAAAGUAGUAGAAAAUGUAAAAGAAGAUAAAAAAGUAGUAGAAAAUGUAAAAAAAGAUAAAA
rnacentral:lncRNA from 1 species